AAAUAAGAAGCAAAAUUUGCAGCUAAUUUCGACCUAGUAUUAGGUUUUAUAACCCUUAUUUC
rnacentral:tRNA from 1 species